CGCAAGCAUGCACACACACCAGCUGUCCCGCAGCUGUGGGGAGGAAGAAAGAGAGGUAAAGUUCCUCACCACAUGCUGCCAACUCUUGUGACGGGUGGCAUAGGACAGGGCCAGGUGACGGUGGGAGAGCUUUCUCAAAGUUUCUUAGUGGAGCCUGCCUGCCCCCGAGAGAGUGGCCGCGGACAGAAGAGAUGUGUGUGAUCCUGCACCUGCUGCAGCAACUCCAGGAGGAACCAGAGGGUGGACAGUCAGACGGCUAACUGAAGAGGGACUCCACCCACACUGCUGUGGGGAAGCUGUCUUCCAGGCUGACUUGAGACUCUUCACUGGCAUGACUGCUUUGAAGUCACCCACUCUUUUGAAAUGUCCAAGAAGCCCUUGGUGCAGAACCUAGGAUGAGUUUGGGGGAACCAGCGGCUUUGUCUCUGCCAUAGGUGAUGAGAUGUGCAACUGAAGCUCAACCAUCUGAGGGUGGGAUGGCUUCAGGGGAACCCUGAGGAGAGAGAGUGACCCAGGAUACCAUGCCUAAUGCUCCAGGCCUAUAAACCCAGAAAUUUUGGAGGCAGAGGCAAGAACAACCCAAGUGUAAGGCUGGCUGUGAGACUCACAAAGAGAAAAACGACAAACUCAGAUGGAGGAAAACUGCUGGAGGGCAAAAGUAGAGUCAGAAUGGAACAAAGUGAGUCUAUCUGGUGCCUCCUUCAAUAUCUUACAUCCAGCAAAGGUUUAUCAGCUAGUGGAGGCACGUGCUACCAAGCCUGGCGACCUAAAUUCACCCCCCAGCACACACAUGCUGGAAGAGAUAACCAAGUCACAGAAGCUGUCCUCCAGGCUCCACAGAGUUCACCACGGCUUGCACAUCCCUCCUCCCCCACACACAACUAAAGACCAGGCUGCAGCUGAACUCACAGAGACCCGCCUGCCUCUGCCUCCCUCGUGCUGGGAUUAGAGGUGUGCGCCGCCACCGCCCUGCGUAGUUGUGCUUUUAUUUUGUUUUAAAUACCUUAGGGCCAAAUGCCACGGCACAUAGUGCAAGCAAGAGGCUCACGGAGGAAAUGAGCAAUGAGGGAAGAUAUCAGUGGUUCCACAACUUUAGCUUUUAUCUGCUGGUCUUUUUGGAGAGAAUUAUUCAGAACUCAUGUGACUGAAGGAUGAAAAACCCAACCUUGACUGAAAGAGAGUGGGGAAUUUAUUAUUUACAUGGCCAAAAAUCCCAGAAGGCAGAUCUAGUUGUGCCUGUGGUUGGCUACAAGAUUUUAAGUGAAGUCACCAAGACCUGGUCUCACGGGGCCACCCAGUUCUGCUUCCCUCCUGGUAGGAAAAGUCAUCCUGGAAUUGAAACCCAUCUUAAAGGACUGAAAAGGCGAGGCUGAAGAUGGAGGCCUGUGGAGAUGGCCGUGUCCGGCCGUGUCCUCGCCACCUGUAACAGAAGACACUUCGGAACUUCCUGUUGUGACCCUUGGUCCUAAGUUACAACUGUUAUCAAAGACCAGAUCUCACAAAGAGCUUAAGCUGGGCCCCAGGGACUUCCCUUACAAAUCUGACCCCCGGGAUUUACCUGGCUGAAAGAAACAUCAAAGAGGCUAAGGAACUUGGAGCUGGGGAGCGCAUUGUGAGGUGACCAACCAAGGCUGUGCUCCUUGGUUUAGGAACCAGUUAGGCAGUUGCCUCAGUUGGCCUGUCAGGUACUCAGGAUGUGGGCCAAAGCACAAACCUUCAUGAUGGCCUUUAAUUAAAGGCAUGGUGGCACGCGACUUUAGUCCCAGCACUCGGAGGCAGAGGCACGUGGAUCUCUGUGAGUUCGAGGCCAACCUGGUUUACAGGGUCUACAGGACAAGUUCCAGGACAGCCAGGGAUGUUACACAGAAAAAUCCUGCCUCAAAAAACCAAAAUAAACAAAUGAGUAAAUAAAUAAAUAAAUAGUCUCCUAUAGACAAGAGAACACAAGAAAAAGCGAAGAAGCCAGACAUAGUGGUGCACACCUUUCAUUCUAGCACUGGGGAGGCAGAGGCAGGUGGAUCUUUGAGUUUCAGGCCAGCCUGAUUCACAGAGUUCCAGGACAGCCAGAGCUACACAGAGA